UACAGAGGUCUCAAGCGUUGUUCGGAUUUAUUGGGCGUAAAGGGCGCGUAGGCGGCGGGGUAAGUCGGGUGUGAAAUCUCAGGGCUCAACCCUGAAACUGCACUUGAUACUGCUCUGCUUGAGGACUGGAGAGGAGACUGGAAUUCACGGUGUAGCAGUGAAAUGCGUAGAUAUCGUGAGGAAGACCAGUGGCGAAGGCGGGUCUCUGGACAGUACCUGACGCUGAGGCGCGAAGGCCAGGGGAGCAAACGGG
rnacentral:rRNA from 1 species